rnacentral:rRNA from 1 species
ACGGUUACCUUGUUACGACUUCACCCCAGUCACCGGGCCUGCCUUCGGCAGCUCCCUCCUUUCGGUUGGGCCACUGACUUCGGGCAUUCCCGGCUCCCAUGGUGUGACGGGCGGUGUGUACAAGACCCGGGAACGUAUUCACCGCGGCAUUCUGAUCCGCGAUUACUAGCGAUUCCAGCUUCGUGCAGCCGGGUUGCAGGCUGCAGUCCGAACUGGGACGUUAUUUUUGGGGUUCGCUCCGCCUCGCGGCUUCGCCUCCCUCUGUUACGCCAUUGUAGCACGUGUGUAGCCCAGGCCAUAAGGGGCAUGAUGAUUUGACGUCAUCCCCGCCUUCCUCCGGGUCCUCCCCGGCAGUCCCCCUAGAGUGCCCACCUUUACGCGCUGGCUACUAAAGGCAGGGGUUGCGCUCGUUGCGGGACUUAACCCAACAUCUCACGACACGAGCUGACAACAACCAUGCACCACCUGU